rnacentral:rRNA from 1 species
UACGUAGGGGCCGAGCGUUGUCCGGAGUUACUGGGCGUAAAGCGCGCGCAGGCGGCCGAGCGCGCCCGGCGUGAAAGCCCCCGGCUCAACCGGGGAACGUCGUCGGGGACGGCUUGGCUUGGGGACGGCAGGGGCCGGUGGAAUGCCCGGUGGAGCGGUGAAAUGCGUAGAGAUCGGGCGGAACACCCGUGGCGAAGGCGGCCGGCUGGGCCGAUCCCGACGCUGAGGCGCGAAGGCGUGGGGAGCGAACGGG